AACGAACGCUGGCGGCAUGCCUAACACAUGCAAGUCGAACGAGACCUUCGGGUCUAGUGGCGCACGGGUGCGUAACGCGUGGGAACCUGCCUUUAGGUUCGGAAUAACUCAGAGAAAUUUGAGCUAAUACCGGAUAAUGUCUUCGGACCAAAGAUUUAUCGCCUUUAGAUGGGCCCGCGUUGGAUUAGCUAGUUGGUGGGGUAAAGGCCUACCAAGGCGACGAUCCAUAGCUGGUCUGAGAGGAUGAUCAGCCACACUGGGACUGAGACACGGCCCAGACUCCCUACGGGAGGCAGCAGUGGGGAAUAUUGGACAAUGGGCGAAAGCCUGAUCCAGCAAUGCCGCGUGAGUGAUGAA
rnacentral:rRNA from 1 species